AAUUAUUUCUUUUCAUUACAGAAAAUGGUUUAGAUUCUGCAUAUGAGAUACAGAAAGCUAAAUUUAUGUGUACUUCCAGGAGACAACAGGUUAUCACAACACUGUACUACUGGGAAGUAGAUUCAUCAAG